UUUGAUCCUGGCUCAGGAUUAACGCUGGCGGCGUGCCUAAUACAUGCAAGUCGAACGGAGAGCUUCUGGUAAUUUAUUAUCGGAUGUCUCUUAGUGGCGAACGGGUGAGUAACGCGUUGGUGACCUGCCUCGAAGCGUGGGAUAACUCCGGGAAACUGGAGCUAAUACCACAUGUGGUCAUGGUUUUUAGAAAACUGUGUCUAAAGGACUUCGGUCCACUUCGAGAGGGGCCUGCGUCCCAUCAGCUAGUUGGUAGGGUAAUGGCCUACCAAGGCUAAGACGGGUAGGGGACCUGAGAGGGUGGCCCCCCACAAUGGUACUGAAACACGGACCAUACACCUACGGGUGGCAGCAGUAGGGAAUAUUGCACAAUGGACGAAAGUCUGAUGCAGCAACGCCGCGUGUGCGAUGAAGGUCUUCGGACUGUAAAGCACUUUUCUGAGGGAAGAGGAAGGACGGUACCUCAGGAAUAAGUCUCGGCUAACUACGUGCCAGCAGCCGCGGUAACACGUAGGAGGCAAGCGUUAUCCGGAUUUACUGGGCGUAAAGCGCGUGCAGGCGGUUUGGUAAGUUGGAUGUGAAAGCUCCCGGCUCAACUGGGAGAGGCCGUUCAAUACUGCCAGGCUAGAGGACGGUAGAGGGAGGUGGAAUUCCCGGUGUAGUGGUGAAAUGCGUAGAUAUCGGGAGGAACACCAGUGGCGAAAGCGGCCUCCUGGGCCGUUCCUGACGCUAAGACGCGAAAGCAUGGGUAGCAAACGGGAUUAGAAACCCCGGUAGUCCAUGCCGUAACGAUGCGAACUUGGUGUUGGUGGUGUAAAGCCAUCAGUACCGCAGCUAACGCGAUAAGUUCGCGCCUGGGGAUUACGACCGCAGGUAAACUCAAAUGAUU
rnacentral:rRNA from 1 species